CCAACGUGGAUACCCUGUGAGGUUACUCUCUCAUGGCUCUGUCCUUGUGGCGUAUGGGAGCGUAGCACCUAACCGUGCUGUGACGUAUAGUCCCGUUCCACGAUGUUGGAGAGCAAGCUUUGUCCCCAACCCUCGGGCUGGUGAGGACGGGCGUCCUGUAUAUUCCUACAUCUUCCCAGAGCUCUUUGGGCUGUGACUGGGGGGCUAAACCAUGCAGAGCACAUUG